GAUGAACGCUGGCGGCGUGCCUAAUACAUGCAAGUCGAGCGAAUGGAUUAAGAGCUUGCUCUUAUGAAGUUAGCGGCGGACGGGUGAGUAACACGUGGGUAACCUGCCCAUAAGACUGGGAUAACUCCGGGAAACCGGGGCUAAUACCGGAUAACAUUUUGAACCGCAUGGUUCGAAAUUGAAAGGCGGCUUCGGCUGUCACUUAUGGAUGGACCCGCGUCGCAUUAGCUAGCUGGUGAGGUAACGGCUCACCAAGGCAACGAUGCGUAGCCGACCUGAGAGGGUGAUCGGCAACACUGGGACUGGGACACGGCCCAGACUCCUACGGGAGGCAGCAGUAGGGAAUCUUCCGCAAUGGACGAAAGUCUGACGGAGCAACGCCGCGUGAGUGAUGAAGGCUUUCGGGUCGUAAAACUCUGUUGUUAGGGAAGAACAAGUGCUAGUUGAAUAAGCUGGCACCUUGACGGUACCUAACCAGAAAGCCACGGCUAACUACGUGCCAGCCGCCGCAGUAA
rnacentral:rRNA from 1 species